rnacentral:rRNA from 1 species
CCUACGGGAGACAGCAGUGAGGAAUAUUGGUCAAUGGGCGGGAGCCUGAACCAGCCAAGUCGCGUGAGGGAAGACGGUCCUAUGGAUUGUAAACCUCUUUAGGCGGGGAGCAAUGCCGGGCACGCGUGCCCGGAGGGAGAGUACCCGCAGAAUAAGCAUCGGCUAACUCCGUGCCAGCAGCCGCGGUAAUACGGGGGAUGCGAGGGUUAUCCGGCUUUAUUGGGUUAAAGGGGUGCGUAGGCGGAUUUAUAAGUCAGCGGUAAAAUGUCCGGGCUCAACACGGGCCGGCCGUUGAAACUGGGGAGCUUGAGUGGGCGAGAGGUAUGCGGAAUGCGUGGUGUAGCGGUGAAAUGCAUAGAUAUCACGCAGAACACCGAUUGCGAAGGCAGCAUACCGGCGCCCGACUGACGCUGAGGCACGAAAGCGUGGGGAUCGAACAGGAUUAGAUACCCGAGUAGUC